rnacentral:lncRNA from 1 species
GCUCGGUGAGAUUUUACAGUUUUUCGUAGUUUAGAUCGAGUUUGUCUUCAUACCUAUAGUCCACGAAAAAGCCACAAAAAAAAAUUAGGGUUAGUUCAUCAUAUCCGAACCAAUCUGAGCCUUUGCAUAAUCUUUUUAGGGUUUUGCUUUGUUGAAUUUGCGGUUGCAUCGUCGUUUCUAGUUGCUGGUCUUAGAGUCUAGUCUUUUAGAGUUUCGAGUUCUGGUCAUAAGUUGUCACGCCGCCGCCGCACCAUCAUCAUCGCCCCUGCCAUCUACCACCACCGCUCCGAAUCCGUAUCCAUAUACCACCACCAAUCCGUGUCCAUAUACCACCACCGAUCCAUAUCCAUAUACUACCACCGCUACCACCACCGCUGCCAUAUACCACCACCAUAUAUCCACCACCAAUCCGAUUUCCUUGCUUAUUAGGUUUGUUUUCGAGAUCCAUCUAGUUUCCGAUUCGUGUUUCCUUGCCGGAGUAGGUUUCGGAAAAAAAAGAAGAGUCGGGAAACCACGCUCCGUUUAGGCCCAAAAUUUUUCGAAAACGCAUUUUUCGAAAAAAAUUCUGGCUAUCCUAUUUUUAGGUGUUUCUGAGUGUUUUGAGACAGGUGCCAUUAUAGUAAGUUUUUUUUGACCCGUUUCCAGUUUUUGGGUCCGGGCAGUCGAAAAAAAAAAUGGUCGAAAAAAUUUCGUGCCCAUCCUGUCCGUUUGAGCUAGGAAGAGUUUUGAGACACUCGCCAUUAUAGUGAUUUUUCGCAAAAAAAAAGCAGCGUCAAAAAAAAGAAAAAGAGCGCAAAAAAAAGAGCGAAAAAAAAUUCAGAGCGUGCUUUUCCCUUGUUUACGUGCCGCGCCGUGAUUUUGUUGGUGUUCUAGGCUCGCGUCUCUAGCACAGUCUAGCCUAGGACCGGCACAGUACCGUCGUUGAGCGUUUAUUCAACUUUGCAUCUCUGAAUUGAUUAUUGCUGACCCUUUUUGCUACCAUACUAUAAGCCUUCCCAGCUCCACAUACAUCUACGUCGUGUGUUUGACUCUCCCUGGUAAUCGCUCUAUCCAAGCUUUGAGAGUUUUUGACUACAACGGUUGCCGAUCACCGCCUGCUGCUGGGUAAGAACUGGUAAGAAUUUGAGAUUUGCUUGACCGGAUUUGUGAUACACCACCACCACUUCUUAGUAGUCUGUAGGAUCAUAUUCUUGUGUGUUUCUAUUGCUGCUAACCAUGCCAGGAUCACAAGCCGACGAGAUUGACUGGGAGAACUUAUCGAACAAGGAGCUUCAUGAUAAGUUUCAGCAAAUGAUGACUGAACAGGUACAAGAUGUGCUGAACAAUUUUGAAGAGGCCAUGGAGAAGAUCACUGGCCUUGAGAAGACGUUCGAAACAAAGCUCGAUAAUAGAUUUAAUGAACUGCUUGCGCGUCUUCCACCACCGGCUGCACCUGUCGCACCUCUGCAACAACAACAACUACGCCCCCUUCUGAUAGAGGCGGGGUGUCCCGAUCUUUCGGUGAGAUGAUAACUAUCGAUUUGGUGGAGACGACUUUGACGAUCCGACUACAAACGUGCAACGACGUUCUGCCUUAGCAAUCGCUAAACCAACUCCGAGAGGUUAUUGACCACACCGGGACACGAUCAACCUGACCACGAAGGUCUAUUCCUGCAAGCAAUCGAAGAACAAGCAAGAAUAUGAUAAAGCAAUCUGAAUAUUGCAAAUCUAUAUGAAGUAUUGAUAGAUAAAGGUGGGGAUCCGUAAGCGGUCUUGGUCUGGUCGUUGGACACAAACGAAGUACACGAAGUUGCAAUGGCUAACUUUUAACUAAACAAAUCCCAAGGAAAAGCUACUAGAUGGAUCUACUUAUAUAGGAGCAAGGGGUGGCGGCCAAGGAGGUGGGAGGACGUCCCAAGGCAGCCUAAAACUAAAUCUAGGUCGUACAAGGUCAAUGGGCCCAAGUGGAGGUGAUGUAACACCUUUGGACUUGUAGUUUGACUCGGAUUCUGCUGCAGCAUCAGAUUGUUUCGUCCACAACUCAGCGCUCCGGACGAAUUUGAAGGUGAUUCCAAUUGGGUUGGAAAGUGCACGAAAUCUAGUUUCCAACAAAAAAAGAAUCACCCAAUUCGGAGUCCGUAUGAAAAACUUGUGUGCGUUUUGAGUUAGGUGUGUCUGUGCAGUCCGAAUCUGAAUCCAGAACGUGAGAGACUUGGACUCUAUCUUCUCUUGGGCCAAAAGUGACGUGAGAGAACUUUUUGGACAUCAAAUAAACAUCUCUUUCUUCCUUAUCUUCAUAUUUGGAUUGUACAAAUGUCCCAUACACCUGCAAUUAGACAAAACACAAAAGUGUGUGAAGUAUUUUUGUUCUGGAUAACAUAAAUAGAUUAUUGAAUAGUUUGCACUAGAAAUCACCUGACAAAUAUGCAUAUAUGCAAUAUUUUUGGUCAUAUCCAAGGUAGUCAUGUCCUCAUCAUCCUCCCCUUCUUGAAAAUAAAGCCGUCCUCGGCGUUGCUUAAUCUGAAAUGUGGCUAACAAAAGAGACAAGGUGUACAUGUUGUAUAUGUAUAUGUCAUCCAUUUUUACUUCCCUUGAUUUUUGCAUAUAUGACACAUGAAUAGAUGAGUAACUUGCAUAGUUCAUAAAAUCUAAGGCCAAAAAAUUAGCACAAGAAGUAGAAGGCAUGAAAAUAUUGCAACUCAGUUUGCACAUAUAAGUGAAGCUCUUGUUCAUUUCAAAAGAUUGACAAUGUUCAUCAUUAAACCAUCCCAACAUUGGUGAAUAAACCUUACUUGCAUCAAAUUUACAUGCUACAACAUGCUUAAAUAAGCAAACAUGCAAUAAGUCAUUCAACACAGAAUCAUCACCAAGAUUAGAGGUCAUAUCAAAAUGAUUAAACAUUGAUUCUUUUGCAUCAAUAGUUAAUUCAAUGGGUGCACUCAAAAUUGUUGGUAUUUCAGUUGUUUGAUCACAUGGCAAAGUCAAAUUAUCAACGUAGUCCUCUAAAAUAGGUGGUGUGAUCAAAAUAGUGGGUAGCUCAUCAGAUGGUGCAUUCAAAUUGACAAGGCAUUCAUCAUUCUCAUGUAGAGAUGGAAGAUCAGUACCUUUGUCAUUACCUCUUAUGAUCAACUCAGAUGAUGUAGCCACUCUCGGGGGCGAUGUGUCACAUGGUGGAGGUGAUGUAGUCCUGACAACAACGGAUGUGGUUGUCAUAGUAUGCCUAGUAGUUAAAGGAACAAUCAUAUCAACUCUUGGAAUGUGCACCGUGCGCUUGUUCUCCUCGUGGCCAACACGUCGUUUUAUUUCCUGUUCAGCUUUGCAAGCAAGAUGAAACAAAUGGUCCAUAGGAUAACACUCUUCAUGAAUUAGUAUCUCUUGAAUAUCACGGUUUAAUCCUCCCCAAAAUCUAUCCAUAAAAUCAUCUUCACUUUCUUCUAAAGAGGAAUGCAACAAGGUAGUUUGUAAAUCAUCAUAAUAUUUUGUUACAGUUUCACUACCUUGUUUUAAGUGUUGCAACUUUUUAAUCAUGUCACGAGUAUAAUAAGCAGGGACGAAAGUAUGUCGCAUGGCAAGUUUCAAAUCAUCCCAAGUAGUAGGUAUAUAAUCAGGGUGUAACCGACAAUUUUCACUCCACCAAACCAAAGCAUAACCAGUGAAAGAACCAACUACAACCUUAACCUUUUUAUGUUCAUUGAAAUUAUGGGAAGCAAAUAUAUUUUUUAUGUCGAACUCCCAUUCAAUAUAUGAUAGAGGCAAAGGUGUCCCGUCUUUUGAUGAGAUGAUGGAUAUCGCUUUGGUGGAAGUCGACUUUGACGAUCCGACUACGAACGUGCGAGGACGUCGCGCCUUAGCAAUCGCUAAACCAACUCCGAGAGGUUAUUGACCACGCCGGAGCACGAUCAACCUGACCACGAGGGUCUGUUUCCUGCGAGCAAACGAAGAACAAGCAAGAAACUAAGAUUGCAAUCUGGAUAUUGCGAAUAUAAGAUGAAAGCUUUAUUGAUCAAGGUGGGGUUCUGUGACGCCUUUGUCUGGUCGUUGAACACAAACGAAGUACGCGAAGUUGCAGCUAUGGCGAACUUUUAAUCUAAACAAAACCCAAAGUCUAAACGAUGCCCUAAGGGCUGUAUAUAUGGAGGAAGAGGGGGGAAUUUCGUGGCCCUUGGUGGAGGGGUCCGAAAUCAACCCUAUCUCUUGUUUCCCCACACAUACGGACUCUAAAAAUAGCCUAUACUUAUGUAUUUCAAAAUUACAUGGGCCUGGCCCAAUAAUAAGGUGACGCAGCACCUAAAAUAGCCUCGGGACGAAAUUUAUGAAGUGGCAUCUUGUAUAUUUCGUCCAAGGCUUCAUGCACCCAUUAUGGUGGCUUCAAAGUCCUGAAAUCAUCACUUGUAACUCCGUUCUUGUUCCCCUUGCGCAUGCCAUUAUCUCCAUGCUUGUUCUUGCUCCAAUGUUCAUCCUUCUCCAAGCUAGGCCCUUCAUUUGUAAGCAAAACAAAUGUAUCCAAUUUAGGCAGCAUCAUAUUCUCAUGAACAUUAGAAUCAUUACCAAGAAACGAAAGUACCUGGUAAUUUAGUUGGCGUGCACGAGCUCUAGUAAUUGGUCCAGUAUGUAUAGCAGCAGGGGCUGUGGGUGUAACAAUUGUAUUGAUGUCCUCAUCAUCCUCCCCUUCUUGAAAUGAAGUCGUCCUCGACGGAAGUCCAUCUUCCUCACCCAAAUAAGGCUUCAAAUCUGCAAUGGUAAAAGUGGGACUAACCCCAAAAUCUGCAGGCAGCUCAAGUUUAUAUGCAUUAUCAUUUAUUUUCUCUAACACCUUAAAGGGACCAUCAGCACGUGGCAUUAGCUUUGAUUUGCUCAAAUCAGGAAAUCUAUCCUUACGCAAAUGUAACCAAACAAGAUCUCCAGGUGCAAACACAACAUGUUUUCUACCCUUAUCUCCAGCAAGUUUAUAUUUAGCAUUCAUACGCUCAAUGUUUUCCUUAGUUAACUCAUGCAUUUUUAAAAUCAAUUCAGCACGUUGUUUAGCAUCAAAAUUAACCUUCUCCGAAGAUGGAAGAGGCAACAAAUCAAUAGGUGCACGAGGUAGGAAACCAUACACAACUUCAAAAGGGCACAUCUUAGUAGUAGAAUGCAAUGAACGAUUAUAAGCAAAUUCAAUAUGAGGCAAGCAUUCCUCCCACAUUUUCUUAUUAUUCUUCAAAACAGCCCUAAGCAUAGUAGACAACGUUCUAUUGACUACUUCAGUUUGUCCAUCAGUUUGGGGGUGACAAGUAGUACUAAAAAGCAGUUUAGUCCGCAACUUAGCCCAUAAACAUCUCCAAAAGUGGCUAAGAAAUUUAGUACCACGAUCUGAAACAAUAGUAUUUGGCACACCAUGCAAGCGAAUAAUUUCACGAAAGAACAAAUCAGCAACAUUAACAGCAUCAUCGCUUUUAUGACAUGGUAUAAUGAUAGGGGAAAAGGUGUCCCGUCUUUCGAUGAGAUGGUGGAUUUCGCUUUGGUGGAAGUCGACUUUGACGAUCCGACUACGAACGUGCGAGGACGUCGCGCCUUAGCAAUCGCUAAACCAACUCCGAGAGGUUAUUGACCACGCCGGAGCACGAUCAACCUGACCACGAGGGUCUGUUUCCUGCGAGCAAACGAAGAACAAGCAAGAAACUAAGAUUGCAAUCUGGAUAUUGCGAAUAUAAGAUGAAAGCUUUAUUGAUCAAGGUGGGGUUCUGUGACGCCUUUGUCUGGUCGUUGAACACAAACGAAGUACGCGAAGUUGCAGCUAUGGCGAACUUUUAAUCUAAACAAAACCCAAAGUCUAAACGAUGCCCUAAGGGCUGUAUAUAUGGAGGAAGAGGGGGGGAAUUUCGUGGCCCUUGGUGGAGGGGUCCGAAAUCAACCAUAUCUCUUGUUUCCCCACACAUACAGACUCUAAAAAUAGCCUAUACUUAUGUAUUUCGAAAUUACAUGGGCCUGGCCCAAUAAUAAGGUGACGCAGCACCUAAAAUAGCCUCGGGACGAAAUUUAUGAAGUGGCAUCUUGUAUAUUUCGUCCAAGGCUUCAUGCACCCAUUAUGGUGGCUUCAAAGUCCUGAAAUCAUCACUUGUAACUCCGUUCUUGUUUCCCUUGCGCAUGCCAUCAUCUCCAUGCUUGUUCUUGCUCCAAUGUUCAUCCUUCUCCAAGCUAGGCCCUUCAUUUGUAAGCAAAACAAAUGUAUCCAAUUUAGGCAGCAUCAUAUUCUCAUGAACAUUAGAAUCAUUACCAAGAAACGAAAGUACCUGGUAAUUUAGUUGGCGUGCACGAGCUCUAGUAAUUGGUCCAGUAUGUAUAGCAGCAGGGGCUGUGGGUGUAACAAUUGUAUUGAUGUCCUCAUCAAUAGGAUAACACUCUUCAUGAAUUAGUAUCUCUUGAAUAUCGCGGUUUAAUCCUCCCCAAAAUCUAUCCAUAAAAUCAUCUUCACUUUCUUCUAAAGAGGAAUGCAACAAGGUAGUUUGUAAAUCAUCAUAAUAUUUUGUUACAGUUUCACUACCUUGUUUUAAGUGUUGCAACUUCUUAAUCAUGUCACGAGUAUAAUAAGCAGGGACGAAAGUAUGUCGCAUGGCAAGUUUCAAAUCAUCCCAAGUAGUAGGUAUAUAAUCAGGGUGUAACCGACAAUAUUCACUCCACCAAACCAAAGCAUAACCAGUGAAAGAACCAACCGCAACCUUAACCUUUUUAUGUUCAUUGAAAUUAUGGGAAGCAAAUAUAUUUUUUAUGUCGAACUCCCAUUCAAUAUAUAAAGCAGGUUUAAAACGGCCAUUAAAUGGUGGUAUAGAUACAUUAACCUGAUCAUGUGCAUUUGGAUGUUUGUGCACCUCUCGUGACGGUUGUGGUAUUUGCAAAGGUGGUGGCACGUCUCCCGCGAUCGACAAAGGUCAUGAAUUGACUCUGGAUCCUGUCAUGAUUAGUAGAACAAGAAACAAAACCCAAAAAUAAUGUUCCUAUAACUACUAGGAUGUGGUGGUAAAACGCUCACAGUAAAGCAAAUAUCAAUGUCUUACAAGUUCUUACCAUGCAGCAGGCGGUGAUCGGCAACCAGCGGUGUCAAGUAACUCCGAAUAUUGAGUAAAGCGAUUGCCAGGGGAGCGUACGUAUACACGGUGUAGAAAUAUGUGGAGCUGGGUUGGCUAUAUAUGGUAGCAAAAGAUUAGCAAUAAUCAAUUCAAAGAUGCAAUGUUGAAUAAACGCUCAACAACGGUACUGUGCUGGUCCUAGGCUAGACCGGACUAGAGACGCGAGCCUAGAACACUAAUGAGGUCACGACGUAGCACAACUAGCAUCAAUGAAGGAUACUAAGUAGCUCUUGACAGCAAGAUAUAAGUGAAGAUCACAACGACAGUGAAGAUAAUGAUGAAAAACAACUGCCAAGCAGGAUAUACAACAACUCUCUCUCCAACUUUCCUCUUCAAAAGUUUGAGACAAUUUUCUGAUAAAUUCUUUCAAAGAAUGCUACUAACUCAAGCUUUCCAAUGCAAAAAGAAUCACUCAAUUCCGAGUUGAUAUGAGGAGUCAAAGAAUUCUAAAGCUGGCCUGAAAAAUUGGAACAACCUGUGUUCAUGAACUUCGGAGGGCAAAAAGACCUAUUUAGAAGCCGAUUUUGAGGUGUCAAAUAUUGAACUAGCUUCUGCAACUAUUUAGAUGCGGCUCAUCGCUAGCUUCAAUUUGAGUACUCACGGAGCCAAAACGGACUUCGUAUGAGGAAGAUACACCUGUUUUACUGAACAGUGCGCAAAACAGAUUCCAAUCCGAAUUCAGGUACGAGAUUGAUUCUAGAUAGAUCCAAUUUUUUUUUCUCUCUCUUUUUCUUUUUUUUCCUUUUUUCUCUUUUUUUUCUCUAUCUUCUUUUUUUUCUUUCCAAGACAAACUAGAUAAGAUGCAGAUUGGAUCAGGCGAAGAUGUGAAUGACCUCAACUAUGAUUAUGACAAUGAACAGUGCGUAGCAUGUGGUGGAAAUUAAUAGAUGGGAUGGUGGACAGCGGAAGGGAUAAUGAUGCAGCGGCGGCGUGACUAAUGUGAACAGAACUCGAAACUCUAAAGAAACUAGACGCUAAGACCAGCAACUGACACGACGAUGCAACCGAUAAUUCAACUAUGCAAGCAAUGAAUAGAAAAUUGCAAAGGCUCAGACUGGCUUGGAUAAAGGAUGAAUAGAUCUUACUUUUUUUGUGUGGCUUUUUCUUGGACAAUAGGUAAGAAAAUAAAUCUAAUCUAGAAAAACUGGAAAUUCUCACCGAGCAACCUGAAAACUGAUACCACUUGAUAGAGGCGGGGUGUCCCGAUCUUUCGGUGAGAUGAUAACUAUCGAUUUGGUGGAGACGACUUUGACGAUCCGACUACAAACGUGCAACGACGUUCUGCCUUAGCAAUCGCUAAACCAACUCCGAGAGGUUAUUGACCACGCCGGAACACGAUCAACCUGACCACGAAGGUCUAUUCCUGCAAGCAAUCGAAGAACAAGCAAGAAUAUGAUAAAGCAAUCUGAAUAUUGCAAAUCUAUAUGAAGUAUUGAUAGAUAAAGGUGGGGAUCCGUAAGCGGUCUUGGUCUGGUCGUUGGACACAAACGAAGUACACGAAGUUGCAAUGGCUAACUUUUAACUAAACAAAUCCCAAGGAAAAGCUACUAGAUGGAUCUACUUAUAUAGGAGCAAGGGGUGGCGGCCAAGGAGGUGGGAGGACGUCCCAAGGCAGCCUAAAACUAAAUCUAGGUCGUACAAGGUCAAUGGGCCCAAGUGGAGGUGAUGUAACACCUUUGGACUUGUAGUUUGACUCGGAUUCUGCUGCAGCAUCAGAUUGUUUCGUCCACAACUCAGCGCUCCGGACGAAUUUGAAGGUGAUUCCAGUUGGGUUGGAAAGUGCACGAAAUCUAGUUUCCAACAAAAAAAGAAUCACCCAAUUCGGAGUCCGUAUGAAAAACUUGUGUGCGUUUUGAGUUAGGUGUGUCUGUGCAGUCCGAAUCUGAAUCCAGAACGUGAGAGACUUGGACUCUAUCUUCUCUUGGGCCAAAAGUGACGUGAGAGAACUUUUUGGACAUCAAAUAAACAUCUCUUUCUUCCUUAUCUUCAUAUUUGGAUUGUACAAAUGUCCCAUACACCUGCAAUUAGACAAAACACAAAAGUGUGUGAAGUAUUUUUGUUCUGGAUAACAUAAAUAGAUUAUUGAAUAGUUUGCACUAGAAAUCACCUGACAAAUAUGCAUAUAUGCAAUAUUUUUGGUCAUAUCCAAGGUAGUCAUGUCCUCAUCACCUUCCGAAUCAGUAUGGACGAGCACAGCGUGUUCCUAUUGAGCCAGGACAAAAUUCUGGUGCCGCUGCUACUGCUGUCGGUGCUUCUUUGGCUCCUGCUACUGCUCCUGCUGGUACCCAGGAGGAUGAUGAGUAUGCGGGCGAUUAUGAGGAUGAGGUUGAUCAAAAUCAGAUCUACGAGCAGCCACCAGCACCACCACCAGCAGGUCGACCUCAGGUAUAUAUUCGUAAUGGUAGGCCUGCACCACCACCUCAGGUACGCGAUGAUGUCCAUAUUCCUAAACUGAAAUUGAAUAUUCCACCAUUUGAGGGUAGAUAUGUUCCUGAUAUAUAUCUUACUUGGGAGUUAGAAACUAAACAACGAUUUACAUGUUUACAAUAUCCUGAGGAGAGACGAGUUGCUGCUGCUGUUUGUGCUUUCACUAGUUUUGCAUGUGUAUGGUGGUCUGAACAUUGUAGAUUAUAUCCUAUUCCAACUACUUGGGCUGCUUUGAAAACUGCUAUGCGUACGCGUUGGGUUCCACCAUAUUAUCAACGUGAAUUGCUUCAAAAAUUGCAGCGUUUAAGACAAGGGAAAAAUUCUGUAGAAGAAUAUUAUCAGGAAUUACAAACUGGCAUGAUUAGAUGUGGUAUUGUUGAGGAAAAUGAAGCUAUGCUUGCACGUUUUCUGGGUGGAUUAAAUAGAGAGAUUCAGACCAUUCUAGACUAUAAGGAGUAUACUAAUAUCACUCGUUUAUUCCAUCUUGCUUGUAAAGCUGAACGUGAAGUGCAGGAUCGACAAGCAUUGGGGCGAACUAACUUUUCUGCAGGCCGACCUUCAUCAUGGACACCACGUGCAUCUUCUACUUCAACUGCACCAGCACCUCCAUCCGGUGCCACCUCCAGCCGUGAUACAAGAAAACAGGCACAACCACCAUUAUCUGCCAAGAGCGCACCUGCGGGGCCUGCACAGCGUUCUUCUUCUUCCAUGGCAUCAACAGGGCAAACAAGUGAUAUUAUUUGUCGUCGUUGUAAGGGAGGAGGUCAUUAUGCGAGGGAAUGCAAAUCUCCGCGUGUGAUGAUUGCUACCGCGGAUGGUGGAUAUGAGUCCGCUAGUGACUAUGAUGAGGAGACAUUGGCUCUUAUUACACGUGAAGAACAUGGUGGAGAUGAUUCUGAUCAUGAGACGCAAUACAUGGCUCCUGAAGACGCUGACAGGUAUGAAUGUUUAGUUGCUCAACGUGUUUUGAGUGUGCAGGUCACACAAGCUGAGCAAAAUCAGAGGCACAAUUUGUUCCAUACCAAGGGAGUUGUGAAGGAACGUUCUGUGCGCGUCAUAAUAGACGGAGGGAGCUGCAACAACUUGGCUAGCAUGGAGAUGGUGGAGAAGCUUUCUCUCACCACAAGACCACAUCCACAUCCUUACUACAUCCAAUGGUUCAACAACAGCGGCAAGGUUAAGGUAACAUGUACUGUUCGUGUGCAUUUUAGUAUCUCUACAUAUGCUGAUUAUGUUGAUUGUGAUGUGGUACCUAUGCAAGCAUGUUCCUUAUUACUUGGUAGACCAUGGCAAUUUGAUAAAAAUUCUGUACACCAUGGUAGAAACAAUCACUAUACUCUUGUUCAUAAGGAUAAAAAUAUUACUUUGCUUCUUAUGACUCCUGAUUCCAUUUUGAAAGAUGAUAUUAAUAGAGCUAAUAAAGCACAACAGGAGAAGAAUAAGAGUGAAAAUCAGAUUGUGGCAAAAGAAUUUGAGCAACAAAUGAAGCCUAAUAAUAAACCAUCUAGUGUUGCUUCUGAAAUUAAAUUGAAAAGUGCAUGUUUAUUUGCCACCAAAUCUGAUAUUGAUGAGCUAGAUUUCAGCAAAUCUGUUUGCUAUGCUUUUGUGUGCAAAGAGGCAUUAUUUUCAUUCAAGGACGUGCCUUCCUCUUUGCCUCCUGCUGUCACUAACAUUUUGCAGGAGUUCGCUGACGUUUUUCCACAAGACGUGCCACCGGGAUUACCGCCUAUUCGAGGGAUUGAGCAUCAGAUUGACUUAAUUCCCGGUGCUUCACUGCCAAACCGUGCACCAUACCGUACCAAUCCAGAGGAGACGAAGGAGAUUAUGCGUCAAGUACAAGAGCUUCUCGACAAAGGUUAUAUACGCGAAUCCCUUAGUCCUUGUGCUGUUCCUAUUAUUCUAGUGCCGAAAAAGGAUGGUACAUCACGUAUGUGUGUUGAUUGUAGAGGCAUUAAUAAUAUUACUAUUCGUUAUCGUCAUCCUAUUCCUAGGCUAGAUGAUAUGCUUGAUGAAUUGAGUGGCUCUACAAUAUUCUCCAAAGUUGAUUUGCGUAGUGGCUACCAUCAAAUUCGUAUGAAAUUGGGAGAUGACAUAUUGAUUUAUAGCAGAUCUUUGGAAGAACAUUUGGAACAUUUACGUGCUGUUUUUAUUGCUCUACUUGAUGCACGUUUGUUUGGUAACCUUGGGAAGUGCACCUUUUGCACCGACCGAGUAUCUUUUCUUGGCUAUGUUGUUACUCCACAGGGAAUUGAAGUUGAUAAAGCCAAGAUUGAAGCUAUUGAGAGUUGGCCGCAGCCCAAAACGGUCACACAAGUGAGGAGUUUUCUUGGCCUCGCUGGAUUCUAUAGGCGUUUUGUGAGAGAUUUCAGCACCAUUGCUGCACCUCUCAAUGAGCUUACAAAGAAAGAUGUGCCUUUUCUUUGGGGUACCGCACAGGAAGAAGCCUUCACGGUAUUGAAAGAUAAGUUGACACAUGCUCCUUUACUCCAACUUCCUGAUUUUAAUAAGACUUUUGAGCUUGAAUGUGAUGCUAGUGGAAUUGGAUUAGGCGGUGUGUUAUUACAAGAUGGCAAACCUGUUGCAUACUUUUCUGAAAAAUUGAGUGGGCCUAGUCUGAAUUAUUCUACUUAUGAUAAAGAAUUAUAUGCUCUUGUUCGGACUUUAGAAACAUGGCAACAUUAUUUAUGGCCCAAAGAAUUUGUUAUACAUUCUGAUCAUGAAUCUUUGAAACAUAUUAAAAGUCAAGCUAAACUGAACCGUAGACAUGCUAAAUGGGUUGAAUUCAUUGAGACUUUUCCUUAUGUCAUUAAACACAAGAAGGGAAAAGAAAAUGUUAUUGCUGAUGCAUUGUCUCGCCGCUAUACUAUGCUUCCACAACUUGACUUCAAAAUAUUUGGUUUGGAAACCAUCAAAGAUCAAUAUGUGCAUGAUGCUGAUUUUAAAGAUGUAAUGCAGAAUUGUAAAGAAGGAAGAAUGUGGAACAAGUUUGUUGUUAACGAUGGAUUUGUGUUUCGAGCUAACAAGCUAUGCAUUCCAGCUAGCUCCGUUCGUCUUUUGUUGUUGCAGGAGGCGCAUGGAGGAGGAUUAAUGGGACACUUUGGCGUGAAGAAGACGGAGGACGUACUUGCUACACAUUUCUUUUGGCCAAAGAUGAGACGGGAUGUUGAGCGUUUUAUUGCUCGCUGCACUACAUGUCAAAAAGCUAAGUCACGACUCAAUCCUCAUGGUUUAUAUAUGCCUUUGCCUGUACCUAGUGUUCCUUGGGAGGAUAUAUCUAUGGACUUUGUUUUAGGUUUACCUCGAACAAAGAAGGGGAGGGAUAGCAUAUUUGUUGUCGUGGAUAGAUUCUCGAAAAUGGCACACUUUAUACCAUGUCAUAAAAGCGAUGAUGCUGUUAAUGUUGCUGAUUUGUUCUUUCGUGAAAUUAUUCGCUUGCAUGAUGUGCCAAAUACUAUUGUUUCAGAUCGUGAUACUAAAUUUCUUAGCUACUUUUGGAGAUGUUUAUGGGCUAAGUUGGGGACUAAACUGCUUUUUAGUACUACUUGUCACCCCAAACUGAUGGACAAACUGAAGUAGUAAAUAGAACGUUGUCUACUAUGCUUAGGGCUGUUUUGAAGAAUAAUAAGAAAAUGUGGGAGGAAUGCUUGCCUCAUAUUGAAUUUGCUUAUAAUCGUUCAUUGCAUUCUACUACUAAGAUGUGCCCUUUUGAAGUUGUGUAUGGUUUCCUACCUCGUGCACCUAUUGAUUUGUUGCCUCUUCCAUCUUCGGAGAAGGUUAAUUUUGAUGCUAAACAACAUGCUGAAUUGAUUUUAAAAAUGCAUGAGUUAACUAAGGAAAACAUUGAGCGCAUGAAUGCUAAAUAUAAACUUGCUGGAGAUAAGGGUAGAAAACAUGUUGUGUUUGCACCUGGAGAUCUUGUUUGGUUACAUUUGCGUAAGGAUAGAUUUCUUGAUUUGCGCAAAUCAAAGUUAAUGCCACGUGCUGAUGGUCCCUUUAAGGUGUUAGAGAAAAUAAAUGAUAAUGCAUAUAAACUUGAGCUGCCUGCAGAUUUUGGGGUUAGUCCCACUUUUAACAUUGCAGAUUUGAAGCCUUAUUUGGGUGAGGAAGAUGAACUUCCGUCGAGGACGACUUCAUUUCAAGAAGGGGAGGAUGAGGAGGACAUCAAUACAAUUGUUACACCCACAGCCCCUGCUGCUAUACAUACUGGACCAAUUACUAGAGCUCGUGCACGCCAACUAAAUUACCAGGUACUUUCGUUUCUUGGUAAUGAUUCUAAUGUUCAUGAGAAUAUGAUGCUGCCUAAAUUGGAUACAUUUGUUUUGCUUACAAAUGAAGGGCCUAGCUUGGAGAAGGAUGAACACUGGAGCAAGAACAAGCAUGGAGAUGAUGGCAUGCGCAAGGGAAACAAGAACGGAGUUACAAGUGAUGAUUUCAGGACUUUGAAGCCACCAUAAUGGGUGCAUGAAGCCUUGGACGAAAUAUACAAGAUGCCACUUCAUAAAUUUCGUCCCGAGGCUAUUUUAGGUGCUGCGUCACCUUAUUAUUGGGCCAGGCCCAUGUAAUUUCGAAAUACAUAAGUAUAGGCUAUUUUUAGAGUCCGUAUGUGUGGGGAAACAAGAGAUAGGGUUGAUUUCGGACCCCUCCACCAAGGGCCACGAAAUUCCCCCUCUCUUCCUCCAUAUAUACAGCCCUUAGGGCACCGUUUAGACUUUGGGUUUUGUUUAGAUUAAAAGUUCGCCAUAGCUGCAACUUCGCGUAGUUCGUUUGUGUUCAACGACCAGACAAAGACGUCACAGAACCCCACCUUGAUCAACAAAGCUUUCAUCUUAUAUUCGCAAUAUCCAGAUUGCAAUCUUAGUUUCUUGCUUGUUCUUCGUUUGCUCGCAGGAAACAGACCCUCGUGGUCAGGUUGAUCGUGCUCCGGCGUGGUCAAUAACCUCUCGGAGUUGGUUUAGCGAUUGCUAAGGCGCGACGUCCUCGCACGUUCGUAGUCGGAUCGUCAAAGUCGACUGCCACCAAAGCGAUAUUCAUCAUCUCAUCGAAAGACGGGACACCUUUGCCUCUAUCAAGACACAAGCCACAACUCAAACAAGCUCAAACAACUAUUGGGUUAAGUUGGGUUGGCGAAAUGUAUGGUUGGCAAGGUUAUGCGGAAAUGGUGGUGGUGGUUGAUGAAGAAGCAACCAUCCCUAAGUAGCCGAAACACCUUAGGAGACUCAAAUCACUACUCAAGCAACCACUAAUGCUAUAGGGAACAAAUUGGGUUAGGUUGCGAAAGUCGGGGGUAGCUAUGCGGAUGAUAUGGUGGAGGGCCUAGGCAAACUUGCCAAAUUUUUUAAAAAUUUGAUGGAGACAAAUGAUGUUGGUGGUAUUUUGUGGGAAGGGGGAUGUCAUGAUCUUCAAAACGAGCUAAAGAACGUCAAAAUCGGACUCCGGAUGAAUUAGUUAUGGCUGAAACGGUGAAACGGGGAAAGCUGAAAUCCCAGGGGCCGGAUAUCCGGUGGUUUGGCCGGAUUUCCGGUGGCUGAAACUUUAGAACUGUGCGCGAGACUUGUCACAUGUGCCAUGUCCCUUUGCUUGUCACAUAUGCCAUGUCCUUUUGCUUGUCACAUAUGGCAUGUCCCUUUGCUUGUCACAUGCUUGACUUGAUUGCCUCACACAUGAUGAACAAUUGCUCUUUCUAUUGUGUUGAGUGCCACACUAUAUUCACUACACCCUAUGCACGUUAUGCUUAGAAUGUCUUGCACUUGUCCCAUGUGCUUCGACACUUCAUUUUAUUUGGUGUUGUGAAUACUUCUUAUGCCUACCAGACCUUUCAUUGAGUGCUUGAUGCUUGUUUGCUAUGACCUUGAGGUAGAUGCUUAUUCUCUUGUCACACAAACUUGCAUCUCUACCUCACAUUGGCAUCCUUGUCCCCAUGAUAUCUUUUCUUGUGCUCAAUUGAUAUGCUUACAUGUCAUGUCACAAUCCUUUGUCACACCCGAUGUUAUGCUUGAUGACGACACUUGUUUGGUGAAUCACCUCUUGAAUGCUUGGUUUUGCACUAAUGCUAACCACAUUUGUUUUUCCAAGUGUUUGUUGUUCUUGCUUCUUUUGAAAUAAUCACUAGACGGUGCGACAUUGGAGAGUGCCCAUUUCGAGUUUCAAGAUGAAGAGUGCUUGGUGACCGACCACUUCGACACGGCACCGCCAUAUCUUUCCCAUGGUGAUUUGGUUUUCGAUCCGAGGUCGGAUCUUUUCCAAGGGGGAGGGGAUGAUGCGGAGCAUCCUAAGGUCAUCACCAUGUGAAGAGUCCGUUUGGAAAGUGACACGUGCGACCUCUACUUCUCAUACAUAAAGGUGAAUCUUCUCCUUUACACGUGUUCACUUGACCCCUUCGAGGAUGGUAUACUACUUGACACUUCUCCCGUGUGCAUGCAUAGGUAUUGUCGGAGCUUCACGGAUGUCGAGGAGUGCAAACGCUAAGGAACAACUACACCAUCCGCGAGGGAAGCCUGGAGCAAAGUGAUAGCUCAUUUGUAUGUGAGCUUUGCUCCUACCUAUCUCUACUCUUGAGAGAGAGAGAUACCACUACUCCAAAGGAGGCCAAGACCUCCUUCUAGGAGAAGAUCCUGCGGGAUAUCAUCAAGACCCCCUCGUGGGAAGAUCCUUCUUGGAUAUCAUCAAGACCUCCUCUUGGAGAUGAAACUUACCUUGUAUCUUUCCCUUUGUUGUUCAUGUACCUUGUGGAUCUUGUGUGUUUGAUUGUCUAGUGGAUGUGUGAUUGAACUUGUUCUUGAGUUUUUCCCCUUGUGAUUUCUCCCCGUUCUUCCCCGCGUUCUUCGUGUUCUUCGAGGGAUCCCACUUCAAUCGUGAAAGAUCGGCCUACACCGGGUUUGUGAUGUAGGGCGGAACCCUAGGGGCCGAUCUUUCACGUUUGGAGUGGAUCCUACGGGGAGACACGAAGAACGAGCGGAAGAAAACAAAGAGAAUCACGGGGGAAAAUGAGAGAUACACUCAACCGACAAGAGAUCAAUCACACAAGGUCUAGAUCAUCAAAGCACGAGUAGCACGAGACACAAAGUCAACAACGGACGAUACAAGUGGCGGUAGCUCAUCUCCGAGAGGAGGUCUUGAAUCCACAAGGGAUCUUCCCGUAAAGGGGUCUUGAAAUCAUGGUGGAUCUUCUCCGAAGAGGCACGGUCCCUCAUGUGGAGUAGAUCCGGUAUGUAUGAGCUAUGCUCUAUCUCAAACGAGCUAUCACAAAGCUAACCCUAACUAGGAGGAGGUGGGGGAGUAUAUAUAGUUUAAGGGUCGAAGGGGUACAUGGGCCUCGGCCCAAAUGCGCUGCACGCAUGAUGAGGACAUGACUACCUUGGAUAUGACCAAAAAUAUUGCAUAUAUGCAUAUUUGUCAGGUGAUUUCUAGUGCAAACUAUUCAAUAAUCUAUUUAUGUUAUCCAGAACAAAAAUACUUCACACACUUUUGUGUUUUGUCUAAUUGCAGGUGUAUGGGACAUUUGUACAAUCCACAUAUGAAGAUAAGGAAGAAAGAGAUGUUUAUUUGCUGUCCAAAAAGUUCUCUCACGUCACUUUUGGCCCAAGAGAAGAUAGAGUCCAAGUCUCUCACGUUCUGGAUUCAGAUUCGGACUGCACAGACAUACCUGACUCAAAAUGCACAUAACUUUUUCAUACGGACUCCGAAUUGGAUGAUUCUUUUUUUGCUGGAAACUAGAUUUCGUGCACUUUCCAACCCAAUUGGAAUCACCUUCAAAUUCGUCCCGAGCGUUGAGUUAUGAACGAAACAAUCUGAUGCUGCAGCAGAAUCCGAGUCAAACUACAAGUCCAAAGGUGUUACGUCACCUCCACUUGGGCCCAUGAGCCUUGUACGACCUAGGGUUGGAUUUAGGCUGCCUUGGGACGUUCUCCCACCUCCUUGGCCGACACCCCUUGCUCCUAUAUAAGUAGAUCCAUCUAGUAGCUUUUUCCUUGGGAUUUGUUUAGUUAAAAGUUAGCCAUUGCAACUUCGUGUACUUCGUUUGUGUCCAACGACCAGACCAAGACCGCUUACGGAUCCCCGCCUUUAUCAAUACUUCAUAUAUACUCGCAAUAUUCAGAUUGCUUUUAUAAUAUUCUUGCUUGUUCUUCGAUUGCUUGCAGGAGUAGACCUUCGUGGUCAGGUUGAUUGUGCUCCAGCGUGGUCAAUAACCUCUCGGAGUUGGUUUAGCGAUUGCUAAGGCGCAACGUCGUGCACGUUCGUAGUCGGAUCGUCAAAGUCGUCUCCACCAAAUCGAUAGUUAUCGUCUCAUUGAAAGAUCGGGACACCCCCGCUUCUAACAAGUGGUAUCAGUUUUCAGGUUGCUCGGUGAGAAUUUCCAGUUUUCCUAGAUUAGAUUUAUUUUCUUACCUAUUGUCCAAGAAAAAUCCACAAAAAAGAGUUAGAUCUAUUCAUCCUUUGUCCAAGCCAGUCUGAGCCUUUGCAAUUUUCUUUUCAUUGCUUGCAUAGUUGAAUUAUCGGUUGCAUCGUCGUGUCGAGUUGCUGGUCUUAGUGUGUAGGUCGUUUAGAGUUUCGAGUUCUGUUCACAUUAGUCACGUCGCCGCUGCAUCGUUAUCCCUUUCGCUGUCCACCACCCAUACAUCAAUUUCCUCCACGUGCUACCCACCGUUCAUUGUCAUAAUCAUAGUUGAGAUCGUUCCCAUCUUCGCUUGAUCCAAUCUACAUCUUAUCUAGUUUGUUUUGGAAAGAGGGAGAGAGAAAAAAAGAUAGAGAAAAAAAACAAGAGAAAAAAAAGUAAAAAAAAAGUCAGAGAAAAAAAAAGAAAGGAAAAGAAAAAAAGUGUGAGAAAAAAAAAGAGAGGAGAAAAAAACAAAAUUCAGAUCUAUCUAGACUCAAUCUCGUAGUUGAAUUCGGAUUGGAAUCUGUUUUGUGCACUGUUCAGUAAAACAGGCAUAACUUCCUCAUAUGAAGUCAAUUUUGGCUCCGUGAGUACUCAAAUUGAAGAUAACGACGAGCCGCAUCUAAAUAGUUGCAGAAGCUAGUUCAAUAUUUGACACCUCAAAAUCGGCUUCUAAAUAGGUCUUUUUGCCCUCCGAAGUUCGUGAACACAACUUGUUCCAAUUUUUCUGGCCAGUUUUAGAAUUCUUUGACUCCUCAUAUCAACUCGGAAUUGAGUGAUUCUUUUUGCAUUGGAAAGCUUGAGUUAGUAGCAUUCUUUGAAAGAAUUUAUCAGAAAAUUGUCUCAAACUUUUCAAGAGGAAAGUUGGAGAGAGAAUUGUUGUAUAUCCUGCUUGGCAGUUGUUUUUCAUCAUUAUCUUUACUGUCGUUGUGAUCUUCACUUAUAUCUUGCUGUCAAGAGCUACUUAGUAUCCUUCAUUGAUGCUAGUUGUGCUACGCCGUGACCUCAUUAGUGUUCUAGGCUCGCGUCUCUAGUCCGGUCUAGCCUAGGACCAGCACAGUACCGUCGUUGAGCGUUUAUUCAACAUUGCAUCUUUGAAUUGAUUAUUGCUAAUCUUUUGCUACCAUAUAUAGCCAAUCCAGCUCCACAUAUUUCUACACCGUGUAUACGUACGCUCCCCUGGCAAUCACUUUACUCAAUAUUCGGAGUUACUUGACACCGCUGGUUGCCGAUCACCGCCUGCUGCAUGGUAAGAACUUGUAAGACAUUGAUAUUUGCUUUACUGUGAGCGUUUUACCACCACAUCCUAGUAGUUAUAGGAACAUUAUUUUUGGGUUUUGUUUCUUGUUCUACUAAUCAUGACAGGAUCCAGAGUCAAUUCAUGGGCUUUGUCGAUCGCGGGAGACGUGCCACCACCUUUGCAAAUACCACAACCGUCACGAGAGGUGCACAAACAUCCAAAUGCACAUGAUCAGGUUAAUGUAUCUAUACCACCAUUUAAUGGCCGUUUUAAACCUGCUUUAUAUAUUGAAUGGGAGUUCGACAUAAAAAAUAUAUUUGCUUCCCAUAAUUUCAAUGAACAUAAAAAGGUUAAGGUUGCGGUUGGUUCUUUCACUGGUUAUGCUUUGGUUUGGUGGAGUGAAUAUUGUCGGUUACACCCUGAUUAUAUACCUACUAUUUGAGAUGAUUUGAAACUUGCCAUGCGACAUACUUUCGUCCCUGCUUAUUAUACUCGUGACAUAAUUAAGAAGUUGCAACACUUAAAACAAGGUAGUGAAACUGUAACAAAAUAUUAUGAUGAUUUACAAACUACCUUGUUGCAUUCCUCUUUAGAAGAAAGUGAAGAUGAUUUUAUGGAUAGAUUUUGGGGAGGAUUAAACCGUGAUAUUCAAGAGAUACUAAUUCAUGAAGAGUGUUAUCCUAUGGACCAUUUGUUUCAUCUUGCUUGCAAAGCUAAACAGGAAAUAAAACGACGUGUUGGCCACGAGGAGAACAAGCGCACGGUGCACAUUCCAAGAGUUGAUAUGAUUGUUCCUUCAACUACUAGGCAUACUAUGACAACCACAUCCGUUGUUGUCAGGACUACAUCACCUCCACCAUGUGACACAUCGCCCCCGAGAGUGGCUACAUCAUCUGAGUUGAUCAUAAGAGGUAAUGACAAAGGUACUGAUCUUCCAUCUCUACAUGAGAAUGAUGAAUGCCUUGUCAAUUUGAAUGCACCAUCUGAUGAGCUACCCACUACUUUGAUCACACCACCUAUUUUAGAGGACUACGUUGAUAAUUUGACUUUGCCAUGUGAUCAAACAACUGAAAUACCAACAUUUUUGAGUGCACCCAUUGAAUUAACUAUUGAUGCAAAAGAACCAAUGUUUAAUCAUUUUGAUAUGACCUCUAAUCUUGGUGAUGAUUCUGUGUUAAAUGACUUAUUGCAUGUUUGCUUAUUUAAGCAUGUUGUAGCAUGUAAAUUUGAUGCAAGUAAGGUUUAUUCACCAAUGUUGGGAUGGUUUAAUGAUGAACAUUGUCAAUCUUUUGAAAUGAAUAAGAGCUUCACUUAUAUGUGCAAACUGAGUUGCAAUAUUUUCAUGCCUUCUACUUCUUGUGCUAAUUUUUUGGCUUUAGAUUUUAUGAACUAUGCAAGUUACUCAUCUAUUCAUGUGUCAUAUAUGCAAAAAUCAAGGGAAGUAAAAAUGGAUGACAUAUACAUAUACAACAUGUACACCUUGUCUCUUUUGUUAGCCACAUUUCAGAUUAAGCAACGCCGAGGACGGCUUUAUUUUCAAGAAGGGGAGGAUGAUGAGGACAUGAUUACCUUGGAUAUGACCAAAAAUAUUGCAUAUAUGCAUAUUUGUCAGGUGAUUUCUAGUGCAAACUAUUCAAUAAUCUAUUUAUGUUAUCCAGAACAAAAAUACUUCACACACUUUUGUGUUUUGUCUAAUUGCAGGUGUAUGGGACAUUUGUACAAUCCACAUAUGAAGAUAAGGAAGAAAGAGAUGUUUAUUUGCUGUCCAAAAAGUUCUCUCACGUCACUUUUGGCCCAAGAGAAGAUAGAGUCCAAGUCUCUCACGUUCUGGAUCCAGAUUCGGACUGCACAGACAUACCUGACUCAAAACGCACACAACUUUUUCAUACGGACUCCGAAUUGGGUGAUUCUUUUUUUGCUGGAAACUAGAUUUCGUGCACUUUCCAACCCAAUUGGAAUCACCUUCAAAUUCGUCCCGAGCGUUGAGUUAUGAACGAAACAAUCUGAUGCUGCAGCAGAAUCCGAGUCAAACUACAAGUCCAAAGGUGUUACGUCACCUCCACUUGGGCCCAUGAGCCUUGUACGACCUAGGGUUGGAUUUAGGCUGUGUUGGGACGUUCUCCCACCUCCUUGGCCGCCACCCCUUGCUCCUAUAUAAGUAGAUCCAUCUAGUAGCUUUUUCCUUGGGAUUUGUUUAGUUAAAAGUUAGCCAUUGCAACUUCGUGUACUUCGUUUGUGUCCAACGACCAGACCAAGACCGCUUACGGAUCCCCGCCUUUAUCAAUACUUCAUAUAUACUCGCAAUAUUCAGAUUGCUUUUAUCAUAUUCUUGCUUGUUCUUCGAUUGCUUGCAGGAGUAGACCUUCGUGGUCAGGUUGAUUGUGCUCCGGCGUGGUCAAUAACCUCUCGGAGUUGGUUUAGCGAUUGCUAAGGCGCAACGUCGUGCACGUUUGUAGUCGGAUCGUCAAAGUCGUCUCCACCAAAUCGAUAGUUAUCGUCUCAUUGAAAGAUCGGGACACCCCCGCCUCUAUCAACGCAGGCAGGGGAGGCCGGAUGUCCGGGCGUCGGGCCGAAUGUCCGGGCGUCGGGCCGGAUGUCCGGGCCUUCGCGAGGUGCCGGAUGUUCGGGCUAGCAGGCGGGAUGUCCGGGCUGGAGUGGUCGAUUCUUCUGCUCUCUGGAUAGGCAGGACCGGUUGUCCGGGCAAAGAGGCCGGAUGUCCGGGGCUUCGGGAGGAGCCGGAUGUCCGGGGCAUGUGGCCGGAUGUCCGGGCUGUGGGGGUGCUUCCAGAUGCAUUCUAUGAUGGAUGCCGGAUGUCCGGGCUGGGCCGGAUGUCCGGGACAUGGCCGGAUGUCCGGCUGCUAUAGCAGCAGACUCUUCUUCCUUCUCCUCUUCCACGCUUCUACGCACGCUCGGCCUUGGUCCUUGGGUUCUCCAUGGUCUCCUCGGGUGUACCUGAGUAUGCACAAGGUCUGCGCUUGAAGUAGCAACCAUAUCUCACGUGUGGAAAGUGAAGGUUUAGAGAGGAGCGAGUUCACCUUGUGUCCAAUGGCGUAUGCUCGAGGUCUCGUCAUAUGUCCUCUUGGGGCUCGGAGAGUAGUCGAAGUGUACAUGGGGAUGAAUGUGGGAUGCUCCGCAUCAGUUUGCCCCGUAUCACUUAUGUUUUGGAGUUCGUUGACAUAAACAGUAAGGGACUUAUGUGUUUGCUAGUGCACACAGAGUAACAGGUCCCUGGAGUCAAGAGGAGUUUGAUUCAAACGCUGAAGAUAAUCCCUGCGUGGAAGUAAAGGUUAUCACCGAAGAUUAUGAUAACAAGAGUGACCCCUCAUAAAUUGCUAACACGAAGCAAUUGGUUCGGUGCUCGUCCGGAAGAAGUGACUGCGACCGAGAAGAUUGAAGACGAAGUGAAGACGUAGCAUUUAUUUCGUUGUUUCUCUCCUGUUUAUUGAGUCAUAGGACCACCGUACUACUAAGAGGGGUGUAGCGUUCAAAGCUUUGAUUCUCUGUUGCUAAACCCAAAUCCUAUGAAAGUUGAGAGAGAAAUCUCUUUGUGUUCUAAGCAAAUACUUGCUAGCAAGAGACUGUGAUCUUCUUUGCUGUGAGAGAUUUGUUUUUGGCUGAGAAGUCAGCAUUCUUGGUCCUCAAGUAAUGUUAUUGUUGCUCUUGAAAUCCGAUUGUUGUGAACAUGUUGGUUGGCCAUUAGUUGGACUGCGUGUCCAAAAUGGUCGUUUCCCACCAGGGAAGGUUGCGGCUAUAAAAGCCACCCCACACUGGCGUUGUCCGGUGGCUGCGCUGAUUGAUUGUGAGAAGAUUGUUAAGCAACCCCCUCUCCUGAGUGAUUUGAGUUUAAAAUCCACCGAGAGAAAACCUAGAGUUGAAAAAAUAGAUAGUGGUUCAACAUCACUCAAAUCUAAGUCCAGUACGCUCCGCCUAUUACUCUUGAGAGCUGCAAACUCUCUAGACGGAUAUGUGUCAAUUUUUUCAGACACCAAGAGUAAUUGUGGUUCUCCAAGAAGAAGUCUGUAAAGGUUCGAAGAUUGCCUCAAGCAUCUACCAUGAGUGAUCGACAUUGGUUGACGAACCAAUUGUCGAGGAGAAUAGGGCGAAGAGAGUUUAUCUUCUGUGUUAAAUCACAACCCUUCCAACCAGUUUCAGUCCUUUUGCAGAAGGACGAACUGGUCUACCAAAUUCCUUGUUGCCAUCGAGCAUCAUUGGUUACCUCUGCUUCUCCUCUUUACAUUCGAAUGUCUUUAUCAUGUGAUUUGUCUCGAUGCAUGCUUUUAGUUUCCAUUCGUUAGUUUGUAUUCACUCGCUGUACACUGAUUUCAUUUGCUUCGCUGCUGGGUUCUGAGAGUUUUGAUAUUUCCGAAGAAAAUUUAAAACUCCCAUUGAUAGAGGCGGGGUGUCCCGAUCUUUCGAUGAGAUGAUAACUAUCGAUUUGGUGGAGACGACUUUGAUGAUCCGACUACAAACGUGCACGACGUUGCGCCUUAGCAAUUGCUAAACCAAUCUCCUGAGGUUAUUGACCACGCCGGUGCACGAUCAACCUGACCACGAAGGUCUAUUCCUGCAAGCAAUCGAAGAACGAACAAGAAUAUGAUAAAAGCAAUCUAAAUAUUGUGAAUAUGUAUGAAGUAUUGAUAAAGGUGGGGAUCUGAAAGCGGUCUUGGUCUGGUCGUUGGACACAAACGAAGUACACGAAGUUGCGUUGGCUAACUUUUAACUAAACAAAUCCCUAGAAAAAAGCUACUAGAUGGAUCUACUUAUAUAGGAGGAAGGGGUGGCGGCCAAGGAGAUGGGAGAACGUCCCAAGGCAUCCUAAAACCAACACUAGGUCGUACAAGGCUCAUGUGCCCAAGUGGAGGUGAUGCAACACCUUUGGACUUGUUGUUUGACUCGGAUUCUGCUGCAGUGUCUGAUUGUUUGGUCGAUAUCUCAAUGCUCCGGACGAAUUUGAAGGUGAAUACAAUUGGGCUGGAAAGAGCACAAAAUCUAGAUUCCAACAAAAAAAGAAUCACCCAAUUCGGAGUCCGUAUGAAAAGGUUGUUGGCGUUUUGAGUCAGGUAUGUCUGUGCAGUCCGAAUGUGAAUCCAGAACGUGAGAGACUUGGACUCUAUCUUCUCUUGGCCCCAAAGUGACGUGAGAGAACUUUUUGAACAAUAUUUAAACAUCUCUUUCUCCCUUAUCUUCAUAUGUGAAUUGUACAAAUGUCCCAUACACCUGCAAUUAGACAAAACACAAAAGUGUGUGAAGUAUUUUUGUUCUGGAUAACAUAAAUAGAUUAUUGAAUAGUUUGCACUAGAAAUCACCUGACAAAUAUGCAUGUAUGCAAUAUUUUUGGUCGUAUCCAAGGUAGUAAUGUCCUCAUCAUCCUCCCCUUUUUGAAAACAAAGCCGUCCCCAGCGUUGCUUAAUCUGAAAUGUGGUUAACAAAAGAGACAAGGUAUACAUGUUGUAUAUGUAUAUGUCAUCCAUUUUUACUUUCCUUGAUUUUUGCACAUAUGACACAUGUAUACAUGAGUAACUUUCAUAGAUCAUAAAAUAUAAAGCCAAAAUAUUAUCAUAAGUAGAAGGCAUGAAAAUAUUGCAACUCAGUUUGCACAUAUAAGUGAAGCUCUUAUUCUUAUCAAAAGAUUGACAAUAUUCAUCAUUAAACAAUCCCAACAUUGGUGAAUAAACCUUACUUGCAUCAAAUUUACAUGCUACAACAUGCUUAAAUAAGCAAACAUGCAGUAAGUCAUUGGACACAGAAUCAUCACCAAGAUUAGAGGUCAUAUCAAAAUGAUUAAACAUUGGUUCUUUUGCAUCAAUAGUUAAUUCAAUGGGUGCACUCAAAAUUGUUGGUAUUUCAGUUGUUUGAUCACAUGAUGCAUUUAUGAUAGUAACAUGAUUCUCUAAAAUAGGUGGCGUGCUCAAAUCAACAGGUAACUCAACAUAUGAUGUAUUUAAGUUAAUUAGGGAUGCAUCAUUCUCAUGUGAAGUUAUAUCAUCAAUACCUGUACGGUUACCUUGUCGCAAAGACGUAGCUGAUGUCGGUAUGGACAAUGACAAUGUACCAUAUACUUGAGAUGAUGUCGCACUCACAAUCUGAGGUGUGGCUGCUCUAGAAGGUGCAACGGUGGAGGAAUCAACCGAUGGUAGUGAGCAUGAGUUGGAAUAGUAGUUGUUGUAGUCACCCAAUGCAUCCUCCUGUAACUGUCUCUCAAAGGUACAAGCACGAACAUACAUACCAGUAAUGCAACGAGGAAUAUACCUAAAUCUUGCCUGAAUAUCAAGGUUCAAACCACCAAAAAAUCUAUUCAUUGUAUCGUCCUCAGAUUCUUCUAUGUCACAAUGAUGCAUAUAAGAUUUGAACUCUUGGUAGUAAGCAUGAACAGUGUUAUUGCCUUGUUUAAAUUGUUCAAAUUUGUGAAGCAAUUCACGACGAUAGUAAGGAGGGAAAAAUUGUUGUCUCAUUACAUGUUUUAAAUCUUUCCAAGUUGUGGGUUGGUUAUCAAUGUUUUUUUUACAAUGCACACUCCACCAAACAGAAGCAAAACCAGUAAAUGCUCUACUGGCAGCUCGUACUCGCUCAAGUUCAGAAAAGUCAUGGUAACUAAAAACUUGUUCUACUUCAAGCUCUCAAUCUAGAUAAAUAGCAGGAUGAAAUCUACCAUCAAAUGAUGGUAAAGAGAUAACCUGACCAUGUGCUUGUGUGUGUUGUCCCAACUCUCGUGAUGGUGAAUAUGUGUUCGUCGUCCAAGAACUUCUUUCUCCGGAACCUAUCAUGAUUAGUAGAAACAAGAAACAAAAUUCAAGAAUAAUGUUCCUAUGAACCACUAGGAUGUGGUUGUAACGUGCUCACAGUAAAGCAAAUAUCAAUAUCUUAUAAGUUCUUACCAUGCGACAGGUGGUGACAGGCAACAAGUGGUGUCAAAUAACUUCGAAGAUUGUGUAAAGCGAUUGCCAGGGGAACGUACGUAUACACGGUGUAGAAAUAUGUGGAGCUGGGUUGGUUAUAUAUGGUAGCAAAAGAUUAGCAAUAAUCAAUUCAAAGAAGCAAUGUUGAAUAAACGCUCAACGACGGUACUGUGCUGGUCCUAGGCUAGACCGGACUAGAGACGCGAGCCUAGAACACUAAUGAGGUCACGGCGUAGCACAACUAGCAUCAAUGAAGGAUAAGUACCUCUAGACAGCAAGAUAGAAGUGAAGAUCACAACGUCAGUAAAGAUAAUGAUGAAAAACAACUGCCAAGAAGGAUAUAUAACAACUCUCUCUCCAACGUUUCUCUUGAAAAGUUUGCUACUAACUCAAGCUUUCCAAUGCAAAAAGAACCACUCAAUUCCGAAUUGAUAUGAGGAUUCAAAGAAUUCUAAAACUGGCCUAACAAAACUGGAACAAACUAUAUGCGUGAACUUCGGAGGGCAAAAAGACCUAUUUAGAAGCCGAUUUUGAGACGCCAAAUAUGGAACAAGCUUCUGCAACUAUUUAGAUGCGGCUCGUCGCUAGCUUUCAUUUGAGUACUCGCGGAGCCAAAACGGAAUUCGGAUGAGAAAGUUAUGCCUGUUUUACUGAACAGUGCACAAAACAGAUUCCAAUCCGAAUUCAACUACGAGAUUGAGUCUAGAUAAAUCCAAAAAAAAUUCCUCACACUUUUUUUCUUUUUCUUUUUUUUCUCUUUCUUUUUUUCUUUUUUUCUCUAUCUUUUUUUUCUCCCUCUUUCCAAGACAAACUAGAUAAGAUGCAGAUUGGAUCAGGCGAAGAUGUGAAUGACCUCAACUAUGAUUAUGACAAUGAAUAGUGCGUAACACAUGGUGAAAAUUGAUGGAUGGGAUGGUGGGUAGUGGAAGGGAUAAUGAUGCAGCGGCAGCGUGACUAAUGUGAACAGAUGAUAGAGGCGGGGGGUGUCCCGAUCUUUUGAUGAGAUGAUAACUAUCGAUUUGGUGGAGACGACUUUGACGAUCCGACUACAAACGUGCACGACGUUGCGCCUUAGCAAUCGCUAAACCAAUCUCCUGAGGUUACUGACGAUGCCGGAAGCACGGUCAGCCUAACCACGAAGGUCUAUUCCUGCAAGCAAUCGAAGAACGAGCAAGAAUAUGAUAAAGCAAUCUGAAUAUUGCAAAUAUAUAUGAGGUAUUGAUAAUGGUGGGGAUCCGUAAGCGGUCUUGGUCUGGUCGUUGGACACAAACGAAGUACACGAAGUUGCACUGGCUAACUUUUAACUAAACAAAUCCCAAGGAAAUGCUACUAGAUGGAUCUACUUAUAUAGGAGCAAGGGGUGGCGGCCAAGGAGGUGGGAGGACGUCCCAAGGCAGCCUAAAACUAAAUCUAGGUCGUACAAGGCCAAUGGGCCCAAGUGGAGGUGAUGUAACACCUUUGGACUUGUAGUUUGACUCGGAUUCUGCUGCAGCAUCAGAUUGUUUCGUCCAUAACUCAACGCUCCGGACGAAUUUGAAGGUGAUUCCAAUUGGGUUGGAAAGUGCACGAAAUCUAGUUUCCAACAAAAAAAGAAUCACCCAAUUCGGAGUCCGUAUGAAAAACUUGUGUGCGUUUUGAGUCAGGUGUGUCUGUGCAGUCCGAAUCUGAAUCCAGAACGUGAGAGACUUGGACUCUAUCUUCUCUUGGGCCAAAAGUGACGUGAGAGAACUUUUUGGACAGCAAAUAAACAUCUUUUUCUUCCUUAUCUUCAUAUGUGGAUUGUACAAAUGUCCCAUACACCCGCAAUUAGACAAAACACAAAAGUGUGUGAAGUAUUUUUGUUCUGGAUAACAUAAAUAGAUUAUUGAAUAGUUUGCACUAGAAAUCACCUUACAAAUAUGCAUAUAUGCAAUAUUUUUGGUCAUAUCCAAGGUAGUCAUGUCCUUAUCAUCCUCCCCUUCUUGAAAAUAAAGCCGUCCUCGGCGCUGCUUAAUCUGAAAUGUGGCUAACAAAAGAGACAAGGUGUACAUGUUGUAUAUGUAUAUGUCAUCCAUUUUUACUUCCCUUGAUUUUUGCAUAUAUGACACAUGAAUAGAUGAGUAACUUGCAUAGUUCAUAAAAUCUAAAGCCAAAAAAUUAGCACAAGAAGUAGAAGGCAUGAAAAUAUUGCAACUCAGUUUGCACAUAUAAGUGAAGCUCUUAUUCAUUUCAAAAGAUUGACAAUGUUCAUCAUUAAACCAUCCCAACAUUGAUGAAUAAACCUUACUUGCAUCAAAUUUACAUGCUACAACAUGCUUAAAUAAGCAAACAUGCAAUAAGUCAUUCAACACAGAAUCAUCACCAAGAUUAGAGGUCAUAUCAAAAUGAUUAAACAUUGGUUCUUUUGCAUCAAUAGUUAAUUCAAUGGGUGCACUCAAAAUUGUUGGUAUUUCAGUUGUUUGAUCACAUGGCAAAGUCAAAUUAUCAACGUAGUCCUCUAAAAUAGGUGGUGUGAUCAAAGUAGUGGGUAGCUCAUCAGAUGGUGCAUUCAAAUUGACAAGGCAUUCAUCAUUCUCAUGUAGAGAUGGAAGAUAAGUACCUUUGUCAUUACCUCUUAUGAUCAACUCAGAUGAUGUAGCCACUCUCGGGGGCGAUGUGUCACAUGGUGGAGGUGAUGUAGUCCUGACAACAACGGAUGUGGUUGUCAUAGUAUGCCUAGUAGUUGAAGGAACAAUCAUAUCAACUCUUGCAAUGUGCACUGUGCGCUUGUUCUCCUCGUGGCCAACAUGUCGUUUUAUUUCCUGUUCAGCUUUGCAAGCAAGAUGAAACAAAUGGUCCAUAGGAUAACACUCUUCAUGAAUUAGUAUCUCUUGAAUAUCACGGUUUAAUCCUCCCCAAAAUCUAUCCAUAAAAUAAUCUUCACUUUCUUCUAAAGAGGAAUGCAACAAGGUAGUUUGUAAAUCAUCAUAAUAUUUUGUUACAGUUUCACUACCUUGUUUUAAGUGUUGCAACUUCUUAAUCAUGUCACGAGUAUAAUAAGCAGGGACGAAAGUAUGUCGCAUGGCAAGUUUCAAAUCAUCCCAAGUAGUAGGUAUAUAAUCAGGGUGUAACCGACAAUAUUCACUCCACCAAACCAAAGCAUAACCAGUGAAAGAACCAACCGCAACCUUAACCUUUUUAUGUUCAUCGAAAUUAUGGGAAGCAAAUAUAUUUUUUAUGUCGAACUCCCAUUCAAUAUAUAAAGCAGGUUUAAAACGGCCAUUAAAUGGUGGUAUAGAUACAUUAACCUGAUCAUGUGCAUUUGGAUGUUUGUGCACCUCUCGUGACGGUUGUGGUAUUUGCAAAGGUGGUGGCACGUCUCCCGCGAUCGACAAAGCCCAUGAAUUGACUCUGGAUUCUGUCAUGAUUAGUAGAACAAGAAACAAAACCCACAAAUAAUGUUUCUAUAACUACUAGGAUGUGGUGGUAAAACGCUCACAGUAAAGCAAAUAUCAAUGUCUUACAAGUUCUUACCAUGCAGCAGGCGGUGAUCGGCAACCAGCGGUGUCAAGUAACUCCGAAUAUUGAGUAAAGCGAUUGCCAGGGGAGCGUACGUAUACACGGUGUAGAAAUAUGUGGAGCUGGGUUGGCUAUAUAUGGUAGCAAAAGAUUAGCAAUAAUCAAUUCAAAGAUGCAAUGUUGAAUAAACGCUCAACGACGGUACUGUGCUGGUCCUAGGCUAGACCGGACUAGAGACGCGAGCCUAGAACACUAAUGAGGUCACGGCGUAGCACAACUAGCAUCAAUGAAGGAUACUAAGUAGCUCUUGACAGCAAGAUAUAAGUGAAGAUCACAACAGCAGUGAAGAUAAUGAGGUGAAACAACAGCCAAGCAGGAUAUAUCAACAACUUUGUCUCCAACUUUCCUCUGAAAAAGUUUGUGCCGAUUUUUUUGUUUUUUUCUCUUCUCUCUUUUUUUUCCUCACACUUUUUUUUUCUUUCUCUCCUUUUUUUUCUCUGACUUUUUUUUCCUUUUUUUCUCUCUUUUUUUUCUCUCUUUUUUUCUCCCUCUUUCCAAAACAAACUAGAUAAGAUGCAGAUUGGAUCAAGUGAAGAUGUGAACGAUCUCAACUAUUAUUAUGACAAUGAAUGGUGGGUAGCACGUGGUGGAAAUUGAUGGAUGGGUGGUGGACAGCGGAAGAGAUAAUGAUGCAGCGGUGGCGUGACUAAUGUGAACAGAACUCGAAACUCUAAACGAACUAGACACUAAGACCAGCAACUCGACACGACGAUGCAAUCGAUAAUUCAACUAUGCAAUCAAUGAAAAGAAAAUUGCAAAGGCUCAGACUGGCUUGGACCAAGGAUGAAUAGAUCUAACUCUUUUUUGUGGCUUUUUCUUGGACAAUAGGUAAGAAAGUAAAUCUAAUCUAGGAAAACUGGAAAUUCUCACCGAGCAACCUGAAAACUGAUACCACUUGAUAGAGGCGGGGGGUGUCCCGAUCUUUCGAUGAGAUGAUAACUAUCGAUUUGGUGGAGACGACUUUGACGAUCCGACUACAAACGUGCACGACGUUGCGCCUUAGCAAUCGCUAAACCAAUCUCCUGAGGUUACUGACGAUGCCGGAAGCACGGUCAGCCUGACCACGAAGGUCUAUUCCUGCAAGCAAUCGAAGAACGAGCAAGAAUAUGAUAAAGCAAUCUGAAUAUUGCAAAUAUAUAUGAGGUAUUGAUAAUGGUGGGGAUCCGUAAGCGGUCUUGGUCUGGUCGUUGGACACAAACGAAGUACACGAAGUUGCACUGGCUAACUUUUAACUAAACAAAUCCCAAGGAAAUGCUACUAGAUGGAUCUACUUAUAUAUGAGCAAGGGGUGGCGGCCAAGGAGGUGGGAGGACGUCCCAAGGCAGCCUAAAACUAAAUCUAGGUCGUACAAGGCCAAUGGGCCCAAGUGGAGGUGAUGUAACACCUUUGGACUUGUAGUUUGACUCGGAUUCUGCUGCAGCAUCAGAUUGUUUCGUCCACAACUCAACGCUCCGGACGAAUUUGAAGGUGAUUCCAAUUGGGUUGGAAAGUGCACGAAAUCUAGUUUCCAACAAAAAAAGAAUCACCCAAUUCGGAGUCCGUAUGAAAAACUUGUGUGCGUUUUGAGUCAGGUGUGUCUGUGCAGUCCAAAUCUGAAUCCAGAACGUGAGAGACUUGGACUCUAUCUUCUCUUGGGCCAAAAGUGACGUGAGAGAACUUUUUGGACAGCAAAUAAACAUCUUUUUCUUCCUUAUCUUCAUAUGUGGAUUGUACAAAUGUCCCAUACACCUGCAAUUAGACAAAACACAAAAGUGUGUGAAGUAUUUUUGUUCUGGAUAACAUAAAUAGAUUAUUGAAUAGUUUGCACUAGAAAUCACCUUACAAAUAUGCAUAUAUGCAAUAUUUUUGGUCAUAUCCAAGGUAGUCAUGUCCUUAUCAACAGAACUCGAAACUCUAAAGGAACUAGACACUAAGACCAGCAACUCGACACGGCGAUGCAACCGAUAAUUCAAUAAUGCAAACUAUGAAAAGAAAAAUGGAAAGGCUCAGACUGGCUUGGACAAACGAUGAAUAGAUCUAACUUUUUUUGUGGCUUUUUCUUGGACAAUAGCUAAGAAAAUAAAUCUAAUCUAGGGAAUACUAGAAAUUCUCACCGAGCAACCUGAAAACUGAUACCACUUGAUAGAGGCGGGGUGUCCCGAUCUUUCGAUGAGAUGAUAACUAUCGAUUUGGUGGAGACGACUUUGACGAUCCGACUACAAACGUGCACGACGUUGUGCCUUAGCAAUCGCUAAACCAAUCUCCUAAGGUUAUUGACCACGCCGGUGCACGAUCAACCUGACCACGAAGGUCUAUUCCUGCAAGCAAUCGAAGAACGAGCAAGAAUAUGAUAAAAGCAAUCUGAAUAUUGUGAAUAUGUAUGAAGUAUUGAUAAAGGUGGGGAUCCGAAAGCGGUCUUGGUCUGGUCGUUGGACACAAACGAAGUACACAAAGUUGCGUUGGCUAACUUUUAACUAAACAAAUCCCCAAGAAAAAGCUACUAGAUGGAUCUACUUAUAUAGGAGGAAGGGGUGGCGGCCAAGGAGGUGGGAGAACGUCCCAAGGCAUCCUAAAACCAACCCUAGGUCGUACAAGUCUCAUGGGCCCAAGUGGAGGUGAUGCAACACCUUUGGACUUGUUGUUUGACUCAGAUUCUGCUGUAGCGUCUGAUUGUUUGGUCGAUAUAUCAACACUCCGGACGAAUUUGAAGGUGAAUCCAAUUGGGCUGGAAAUAGCACAAAAUCUAGAUUCCAACAAAAAAAGAAUCACCCAAUUCGGAGUCCAUAUGAAAAAGUUGUUGGCGUUUUGAUUCAGGUAUGUCUGUGAAGUCCGAAUCUGAAUCCAGAACGUGAGAGACUUGGACUCUAUCUUCUCUUGGCCCAAAAGUGACGUGAGAGAACUUUUUGAACAACACUUAAACAUCUCUUUCUCCCUUAUCUUCAUAUGUGAAUUGUACAAAUGUCCCAUACACCUGCAAUUAGACAAAACACAAACGUGUGUGAGGUAUUUUUGUUCUGGAUAACAUAAAUAGAUUAUUGAAUAGUUUGCACUAGAAAUCACCUGACAAAAUAUGCAUGUAUGCAAUAUUUUUGGUCGUAUCCAAGGUAGUCAUGUCCUCAUCACCCAUUCACCCCCUCUGGUAGACAUACUUCGUUCCUACAAUAGGUAUCAUAGCAAGGUACUCCUUGACUCUGCUCAUUUUGGUCUAACCACGUUGGAGUUCAAGUAUGUCUCCAGUGAGCUACAAGUCACACCUCAAGAUUCCCAUCUUCGAUGGGACGGGCUAUCCCUUCUUGAAAGAGAGGAUGAAGAUCCGUCUCCGAGGUAUUGAUGAUGAUAUGUGGAACAUGGUGCAGACUAGUUUCACGGUUGAAGUGCCCCAGGUCCCCACUGACCGCGAGAAGAAACUCAUUCAGAUGGACACUCAAGCUAAAGAUGAAAUUGGUGGCCAUCUCUCUCGUGCUCAAUUUAUUCUCUAUCGUUAGUGUGAAACUGCAAAGGAAUUGUGGGGUAUUCUUGAAAAGAUAAAUGAGGGUGCUUCAACUCAGAAAGAAGCUCGCAUUGAUACUCUUCGGGCAAAGUUCAAUCGAUUCAAGCAAAUCGAAAAUGAAAGUUGUCAACAAACUUUUGGCCGUCUGAGUGACAUUGCAAAUGAGCUGCAAGGUCUCGGGGCCAAAGACAUCACUGAUCACGAAGCUGUGAAGAAACUGCUCAGAUCUCUUGACAUCUCAUUCGAGACACUACUUCUGAUGAUUAGGGAACGAGCCAAUUUCAAAAUUCUCGACUCUGCUGAUAUCAUGGAAAGGCUAAACACCCACGAGGAACACAUGUCAGCUCCACGAUGGGCCAGAUGUCAUCCAUCCAAUGGAGGAGACAUGCCUAUGAUACGUCGACACGUGGCACAACCAACAGAGGUCCAUAUAGGUUAAAAGGCUGGCCCAAGCAAAGGCUCGUAUGAUUUACUCAAGUACUAGUGGGCUGGCCUACUAACAACCUCCCUAAACAUGGCCCAUUUACGUCCCACCACCAAAUCUGGCCCGUUAAUUGUUCGCUCAGUCUUUGGGCCCAAUUACGGCCCAGUGAGCUUUCAGCCUGUUAGAGGCCCGAUGCAAACAUGGGCACAUUUCAGCCCGGUGUUUCUUUCGGCCUGGUAAUGGCCCUUGCUGCCCAUGGGCCAUAUAUGGUCCGACGUGACAUCCGACCCACUAACGGCCCUUGAUCAUUGUGGCAACAGUUCAUACCAACCUGACUUUGGGCCUGUUAAAGGCCCGUCGUAUAAUUCGGCCCAUCGAUGCCUCUACUAAGCUCUCGCCUCUUAAAGGCCCAUAAUAUUAGUGGGCUAACCAAGGCCCGAGAUAUGUUUCGGCCUGGUAACGACCCAUCAUAUAACUGGGGCAAUAAUGGCUGGUGUAAAUUUCAUCCCGCUAAAGGCUCGGGGACGACCAUUGAAAAUUGAGGCCCAACAUGUAUUCGGCCUCCUAAAGUGAUGAGGACAUCAAUACCAUUGUUACACCCACAACCCCUACUGCUACAUAUACUGGACCAAUUACUAGAGCUCGUGCACACCAAUUAAAUUAUCAGGUACUUUCAUUUCUUGGUAAUGAUUCUAAUGUUCAUGAGAAUAUGAUGCUGCCUAAAUUGGAUACAUUUGUUUUGCUUACAAAUGAAGGGCCAAGCUUGGAGAAGGAUGAGCAUUGGAGCAAGAACAAGCAUGGAGAUGAUGGCAUGCGCAAGGGGAACAAGAACGGAGUUACAAGUGAUGAUUUCAGGACUUUGAAGCCACCAUAAUGGGUGCAUGAAGCCUUGGACGAAAUAUAAAAGAUGCCACUUCAUAAAUUUCGUCCCGAGGCUAUUAUAGGUGCUGCGUCACCUUAUUAUUGGGCCAGGCCCAUGUAAUUUCGAAAUACAUAAGUAUAGGCUAUUUUUAGAGUCCGUAUGUGUGGGGAAACAAGAGAUAGGGUUGAUUUCGAAACCCUCCACCAAGGGCCACGAAAUUCCCCCCUCUUCCUCCAUAUAUACAGCCCUUAGGGCACCGUUUAGACUUUGGGAUUUGUUUAGUUAAAAGUUAGCCAUUGCAACUUCGUGUACUUCGUUUGUGUCCAACGACCAGACCAAGACCGCUUACGGAUCCCCACCUUUAUUAGUACUUCAUAUAUACUCGCAAUAUUCAGAUUGCUUUUAUCAUAUUCUUGCUUGUUCUUCGAUUGCUUGCAGGAAUAGACCUUCGUGGUCAGGUUGAUUGUGCUCCGCCGUGGUCAAUAACCUCUCGAAGUUGGUUUAGCGAUUGCUAAGGCGCAACGUCGUGCACGUUUGUAGUCAGAUCGUCAAAGUCAUCUUCACCAAAUCGAUAGUUAUCAUCUCAUCGAAAGAUCGGGACACCCCGCCUCUAUCAAGUGGUAUCAGAUUUCCAGGUUGCUCGGUGAGAUUUUACAGUUCUUUCGUAGUUUAGAUCGAGUCUGCUCUUCAAACCUAUAGUCCACGAAAGAGCCACACACAAAAAAUUAAGGUUAGUUCAUCCUAUCGGAACCAUUCUGAGCCUUUGCAUAAUCUUUUCUGUAUUUGCAUUGUUGAAUUUGCGGUUGCAUCGUCGUGUCUAGUUGCUGGUCUUAGAGUCUAGUCUUUUAGAGUUUCAAGUUCUGGUCAUAAGUUGCCACGCCGCCGCCGCACCAUCAUCAUCGCCC